GUGGGGAAUAUUGCACAAUGGAGGAAACUCUGAUGCAGCAACGCCGCGUGAAGGAAGAAGGUUUUCGGAUCGUAAACUUCUGUCCAAGAGGAAGAAGAAGUGACGGUACUCUUGGAGGAAGCCCCGGCUAACUACGUGCCAGCAGCCGCGGUAAUACGUAGGGGGCGAGCGUUAUCCGGAAUUAUUGGGCGUAAAGAGUGCGUAGGUGGCCCGUCAAGCGUAUGGUUUAAGGCAUCGGCUUAACCGAUGUAUGCCGUACGAACUGGCAGGCUUGAGUGCAGGAGAGGAAAGCGGAAUUCCUAGUGUAGCGGUGAAAUGCAUAGAUAUUAGGAGGAACACCGGUGGCGAAGGCGGCUUUCUGGACUGCAACUGACACUGAGGCACGAAAGCGUGGGGAGCAAACAGGA
rnacentral:rRNA from 1 species